rnacentral:rRNA from 1 species
CCGAGACAGGUGCUGCAUGGCUGUCGUUAGCUCGUGUCGUGAGAUGUUGGGUUAAGUCCCGCAACGAGCGCAACCCUUGUCCCUAGUUGCCAGCGGUUCGGCCGGGAACUCUAGGGAGACUGCCGGUGAUAAACCGGAGGAAGGUGGGGAUGACGUCAAGUCAUCAUGGCCCUUACGGCCAGGGCCACACACGUGCUACAAUGGGCGGUACAAAGGGUCGCGAACCCGCGAGGGGGAGCCAAUCCCAAAGAGCCGCUCGCAGUCCGGAUCGGAGUCUGCAACCCGACUCCGUGAAGUCGGAAUCGCUAGUAAUCGCGGAUCAGCACUGCCGCGGUGAAUACGUUCCCGGGCCUUGUACACACCGCCCGUCACACCAUGGGAGUUGGCGGCACCAGAAGUCGGUGGCUUAACCUUCGGGAGGGCGCUGACCACGGUGUGGUCAAUGACUGGGGUGAAGUCGUAACAAGGUAGCCGUAGGGGAACCUGCGGCUGGAUCACCUCCUUU